rnacentral:rRNA from 1 species
UACGAAGGUCCCAAGCGUUAUUCGGAGUUACUGGGCGUAAAGCGUCUGUAGCCUGUUAUGUAAGUUUGUUUUCAAAUACACCGACUCAAUCGGGGAGAGGGAAUAAAUACUGCAUAGCUAGAGGACUGUAGAGGUUAGUGGAAUUUCCGGUGGAGCGGUGAAAUGCGUUGAUAUCGGAAGGAAUGCCGAAAGCGAAAGCAGCUAACUAUACAGUAUCUGACGGUGAGAGACGAAAGCUUGGGUAGCAAACGGG